rnacentral:misc_RNA from 1 species
UUUUUUUUUUUUUUUUUUUUUUUUGAACACAAUUACAAAUAGGUAUUCCAUUCCAAAUCAGAGAUAAAUCAGAGGUUCAGAAGUCAAUAUCAAUGCCCGUGUUUAUUCAACUACAGAAAGACAUAAACAUGACUCUCAACAAUCAGGAACUCAUAUCUGAUCCAGUACAAACAUCCCCAUAUGGCUAACUAACACCUCCCUUACAAUCUUCCCAUCACUUCUUAUUGUUUUUACCUCCACCGCCAGCGUUGUUUCCUCCCACAGCUGCCUGGGCAGCUUUCCUAGCAGCCUUCUCCUGCAGAGCCUUUGCGUCCCUGUCACGGCGUUGUUCAGGGGUCAAUCCAUCGUCUUUGGAAUUCUUAGGCUUGUGGCCAGCCCUAGCUUGGGCCCUUUCCCGGUCUCGCUCUCUCUGGUUACCACG